rnacentral:piRNA from 1 species
CGGCAUUGUGUAGUCCAUGGUAUCCACAA